GGCCUAACACAUGCAAGUCGAACGCGUCCUUCGGGACGAGUGGCAGACGGGUGAGUAACGCGUGGGAACGUACCCUUUGGUUCGGAACAACUCCGGGAAACUGGAGCUAAUACCGGAUAAGCCCUUCGGGGGAAAGAUUUAUCGCCAAAGGAUCGGCCCGCGUUAGAUUAGCUUGUUGGUGAGGUAAUGGCUCACCAAGGCUACGAUCUAUAGCUGGUCUGAGAGGAUGAUCAGCCACACUGGGACUGAGACACGGCCCAGACUCUUACGGGAGGCAGCAGUGGGGAAUCUUGGACAAUGGGCGAAAGCCUGAUCCAGCCAUGCCGCGUGAAUGAUGAAGGCCCUAGGGUUGUAAAAUUC
rnacentral:rRNA from 1 species